rnacentral:lncRNA from 1 species
GGUCAAAUAAAACAUCUGUGGUUAAAAUGUGAGUCCCAGAAUAAAAGGGACAAAGGUACUAUCCAAACUGACUUGCAAUCAGUUACCUGAGGACAAUGGAGUGACUUCCAGGAGUAAUAAAAGCAGAAGUUGGCCGGGCUCAGUGGCUCAUGCCUGUAAUCCCAGCACUUUGGGAAGCCAAGGCGGGUGGAUCACGAGGGCAGGAGUUCAAGACCAGCCUGUCUAAUAUGGUGAAAUCCCAUCUCUACUGAAAAAUACAAAAAUUAGCUGGGCAUGGUGGUGCAUGCCUGUGGUCCCAGAUGCUUGGGAGGCUGAGGCAGGAGAAUCACUAGAACCCAGGAGGCGGAGGUUGCAGUGAGCCGAGAUCACGCUGCUGCACUCGGGCCUGGUGACAGGGUAAGACUCUGUCUCAAACAACAGCAACAACAAAAAAGAAGCAGGGGUUCAUUUACUUGGCCAUGAUUUUUAAUUCUCCUGAGCAAUCUUUGAUAAGUCAGCAUGGAAGAAGUCGUGGUAGGAAGAGCAGUGGUGAUAACAGUGGCAAUGCUAAUGUUAACAAACACCUGGUAGGCACUCAGCAUUGCUGGGCUCUGUGCUCAGGGUUUUACGUGCAUUGUUUACUUGAACUCUGGUAACAACAUUGAGUUAGUGAAACUGUAGAGCAGUGAGAUUAGUCCUGUGCCCAGGGAAGGAGAUACGAGGUGGAGAAAGCAGGAUUUGAACCCCAAGUUCUUAGUCUAACAUGGGCUAAGGCAAAUUUGUGCCAGACAUAUAUUAAAUUAGUAAGGCCGUUUUCAAACUUAAGUGUAUGCACGAUAUAGCCCGAAGUUCAUCAAAAUGCAGAUCCUUGGUUCCCAGUGCCAAACUUUGGAAUCAGGGAUUCUAAAUGUAGGCCUCUGUUUUUUUGUUUUUUUUUUUGUUUUGGAGACAGUCUUGCCUGUCACCCAGGCUGUAGUGGCAUGAUCUUGACUUACUGCAACUUCCACCUCCCAGGUUCAAGCAAUUCUCCCUGCCUUUCCAAUUGUGGCUCUUGUGAUUCUCUCAUGGGAGACUGUCACUCUGUCACCCAGGCUGGAGUGACAUGGCACAAUCUCGGCUCACUGCAAUCUCUGCCUCCAGAUUCAAGCAAUUCUCCCUGCCUCAGCCUUCUGAGUAGCUGGGAUUACAGGUGCUGCCACCACCCCCAGCUAAUUUUUGUAUUUUUUAGUAGAGAUGGGGUUUCGCCAUGUUGUCCAGGCUGGUCUUGA